rnacentral:rRNA from 1 species
AGUAAACGCUGGCGGUAGGCCUAACACAUGCAAGUCGAACGGCAGCACAGUAAGAGCUUGCUCUUACGGGUGGCGAGUGGCGGACGGGUGAGGAAUACAUCGGAAUCUACUUUUUCGUGGGGGAUAACGUAGGGAAACUUACGCUAAUACCGCAUACGACCUACGGGUGAAAGCAGGGGAUCUUCGGACCUUGCGCGAUUGAAUGAGCCGAUGUCGGAUUAGCUAGUUGGCGGGGUAAAGGCCCACCAAGGCGACGAUCCGUAGCUGGUCUGAGAGGAUGAUCAGCCACACUGGAACUGAGACACGGUCCAGACUCCUACGGGAGGCAGCAGUGGGGAAUAUUGGGCAAUGGGCGCAAGCCUGAUCCAGCCAUACCGCGUGGGUGAAGAAGGCCUUCGGGUUGUAAAGCCCUUUUGUUGGGAAAGAAAAGCAGCAGGUUAAUACCCCGCUGUUCUGACGGUACCCAAAGAAUAAGCACCGGCUAACUUCGUG